UCACACUAGAAUUUUCAUGCGCGAAGGGUACACCUUAGUGUACUUUUUUCUUUUUCCACGUAUAAGCAUCACUGUUCAUUAUUUGGAAACGUAAUUGGUAACAUAUCGUUGUAUCCGGUUUGCAGUCGUUUUUUUUACAUUUAAUUUCAGACUUUCUUACUCCUUUCAAAGUAUCAAAUGAAUGAACUUGAAGUAUGCUGGAUCAAAUUUGUAUGGUGUGAAAAUUCUUGAAAUGUCUGGUGCAACAGUUCUGGUGACGGGUGGUGCAGGUUAUGUGGGUUCUCAUUCAGUCGUGCAACUACUCAAUCAGGGUUUCAAGGUGGUGGUUGUUGAUAACCUAGUAAAUGCAUCCCCAGAAUGUCUGAAAAGAGUUGAGGAAAUAACAGGAAAGAAAGUUAUAAGUGUUUUAGUGGAUCUAUGUAACAAGGAUGAAGUGGAUAAAGUAUUCAGUAAAUACAAAAUCGACUGUGUGAUACAUUUUGCAGCACUGAAAGCUGUUGGAGAAUCUGUUUCUAUGCCUCUGACUUACUACAGAAAUAAUGUUGGUGGAUCAGUUACGUUGUUAGAGGUAAUGAAAGCACACAAUGUGAAAAAGAUUGUUUAUUCUUCAUCUGCUACUGUUUAUGGAACACCUCAGGAACUACCCCUGACUGAGGAUCACCCAACAGGUUUAGGUUGCACUAAUCCUUAUGGCAAGUCCAAGUACUUUGUUGAAGAAAUGCUCAAGGAUUUAGUUAAAUCAGAUGAAACAUGGUCAGUAAUAUCAUUACGCUAUUUCAAUCCUGUUGGAGCUCAUGAAUCAGGGAAGAUUGGAGAGGAUCCAAAGGGAGUUCCUAAUAACAUCAUGCCUUAUAUUGCACAAGUGGCUGUUGGUAGAAGAAAGGAUCUCAGAGUGUUUGGCAAUGACUAUAACACACUUGAUGGGACAGGGGUUCGAGACUAUGUUCAUAUUCAAGAUCUAGCUGUGGGUCAUAUAGCAGCAACAAACAAGAUUUUGAACCCAAACUUCUGUGGGUGGAAAGUAUACAACUUGGGCACAGGCAGUGGUUUGUCUGUUCUGCAGCUGGUUAAGGCAUUUGAAGAGGCAUCAGGACAGAAAAUACCCUGUGAGGUGGUAGGGAGGCGUGCUGGAGAUAUUGAUGCUUCUUAUGCAGACGUCUCACUGGCAAAGAAGGAACUUCAUUGGGAAGCUACAAGAGGGGUCCUUGACAUGUAUUUCACUGUCCUUGAACAUCUGUUGAUAAACUGAAGAUAGAAGAGGUCUUUCCAAAUUGCACCACAAUCUAUUGUAUUGCAAGGUGUGCACCAGAUGAUCCUUAAGCAUCUGACUAACAACCAACAAGAACAGAAUGAGAUUUUGAGGCUAUCAUUGCAGUGAUAACAUCAGUGUUGGUCUUCAGGGUUGUAAUGCUAUGUGGGCUUGUAAAUACCAGCAUUUCAAAGGAACUUACUGCUUAAUCUUCUGGGCUGAAGAGGGAAGCUAUAUGUACCUCUGAAAUAAAGGUAGAGAUACAUGGAGAUGGCAAUCUUUGAAUCCAAAUGGAUAUGGAGAAUCUGAAUGAAAGGUUGUCUGCAGUUCUAAGUAUAACAGUACAAGUAAAAUACCUUAAUUGAUCAUCCGGUGAUUGUGAGUGUUUUCAAACUCUGUACCUCUGAAACAAAUGCUGGCAACUUAAGUUGAGCAUAAUUACAGUUAAGUUAUAAUUGUUUGACAUGAAACAUGUCUAUCCUGGAUGUACUGCACUAUAAUGAUAUGUUCUUAUCAUGGCCAUGGGCCUAUAUAUUACAUUUCAAAUUAUUACCAGAAACAUAAAACACUUUAUAUUUUACACAUCAAAUAUUAAUUAAUAUGUUUAUUAGAUUGUGAAAUUUUGUACGGGUUGGAUAAAAAGUGACAGUGCCUGCAUCAACCCUAUGCCAGAUUGAUGCCUUCAUUGGCUCAUACAAGAGAAAUGGUAGUUUCUUUAAUAUCUUCCUGCAGUCAAGGAGUAAUUCAAAUCAAGCUCAAACUGUAAAGCCAAAGUUAAUGAUUCUUGUCAAAUUUAUUUAGAUUAAAACUGCAAUCAAGUACAAAGCAUUUAGUCAUUGUUAUUUUAUGCUUUUAUGUAACUUAGUAUAAAAUAAUAUAUUAUCAGUUAAAUAUAGGGGUUAUUGUUUAUGGCUGUAUUUUGUGGUUUUAGCAAAGUUUGUUUUGUUUAAGUUCUGUUUUAAUUUUCAUUACAUUUGUUCCAUUGCCAAGUUUUAAACGUACUGAAUUUAGUUCCUGUGUCUUCAGUUCCUUGAAAAAUUGUGUUUUGUUGGUUAAGGAGUCUGUAGUUUUAGGUAUGGGCUUUGUAUUUAUAUAAAGUUGUGUUAAAUGUGCACAUAACUAACUUGUACUUUGAUAUAUUAGAUUGGAUCAAAGAGUAAGUUUCAGUUCCCAUUUGUUAAUAAGACCCUUUAUGAAGGCACUGAAUUCUGUUUAUUAUAUUAUUCAAAUGUGCUGUUGCACAGUGUUAUAUGGAUGGUUUGCCAUCUGAAAUAUUUAAUAAAAUAUUUUUAUACUUAUUUCUUCAAAUUUUAGUUUGAAGAUUGCUUUAAUUAGGUAUGCCUCCAUCUGAAGUAAUAUUGUAAAAUCAGAGUUAUUGUAAGGAAACAAGUUACUAAUUUAGAAUGUUCACAUUUAGUCCUAGGUCUUGGAAAGGUACAAUUUUAGUAUGAUCCUUUAGUAACUGGUGUGUAGUUUUAUAAACAAUCUACAUUUUAAGAAUGGUGUAUAUUGUUCUUGAAGUAUUAAAAAUCUAAGCAUUUAUAUAAUAUUACUAAUGUUACUCCCUUAGUUAAUUUGUUUUGUUUAAGAAAAAUGUAAUUACUUGAUUUUCUCUGUAAUUUAUUAUGCAUGGAAUCUACAUAGUUCAUCUAUAUAUUUGAUAAGCAAACAACCAUACCAUUAAUUUUCAAAUGAAAAUAGGUUUGUGUGUUCUUUUUCAAUUUUCAUCAAAGAUGUUGGGAUCAGUACAAGACCAUCUCAUUUCAUUCAUAAGAAAGCAUUUAUAUGUACUUUCAAUAUGACAGGUUUUAACCAGAUUAAAAUUGUCACAGCAGCAUUUUGAAGUGUGAUUGUAGAAUCCUUUUAGUCUUGACUAUAUUGACAACACUGGACAUAAGCUUUCUUUCUUACCUUCGCCUUAAGUGUAGUGAUAUGAAUAGCUAAUUAGCUAGUGCAGUUUACAUUUGUAACAAUAAAAAAUUCUGCUUUCAUCU